GGGCCCUUAGCUCAGCUGGUUAGAGCGGCGGACUCAUAAUCCGUUGGUCGCAGGUUCGAGCCCUGCAGGGCCCA
rnacentral:tRNA from 1 species